GGUUAGGGGUCUACCUGGUCCAAUGUUGUUAUAUGGGUCCCUAUGGGUUCCCUAUGGGUCGCCCUAUUGUCUACUAUGGGUCCCUAUGUGUCCCUAUGGGGUCCCUAUGGGUCCCUAUGGGGUUUCUAUGGGUCUCUAUGGGUCCCUAUGGGUCCCUAUGGGUCCCUAUGGGUCCCUAUGGGGUUUCUAUGGGUCCCUAUGGGGUCCCUAUGGGUCCGUACCUUCUCCCAGUGUCUUCCCCGUCCUCACUCUCUGCUGUUCCACCAUCACGUCCCGCAGCCGCACGCGGAGAUCGGCCCCGACACCCAGGGAGCGCACUGCGGGGUUAUGGGGUAUGGGGGGUAUGGGGUGUUGUUAUGGGCUAUGGGGUGCUAUGGGGUAUGGGGUGCUAUGGGGUUAUGGGGCACUCACAGAUCGGCCCCGACACCCAGGGAGCGCACUGCGGGGUUAUGGGGUAUGGGGGUAUUGGGGUCCAUAGGGCGUCAUUAUGGGCUAUGGGGUGCUAUGGGGUGCUAUGGGGUGUUGUUAUGGGCUAUGGGGUGUUGUUAUGGGGUCUAUGGGGUAUUCAGGGCUAUGGGGUGUGGUUAUGGGGUGUUGUUAUGGGGUGUCAUUAUGGGCUAUGGGGUGCUAUGGGGUAUGGGGUGCUAUGGGGUAUGGGGUGUUGUUAUGGGGUGUUGUUAUGGGCUAUGGGGUGUUAUGGGGUAUGGGGUGUUGUUAUGGGGUGUUAUGGGGUAUUCAGGGGUAUGGGGUGUUAUGGGUUAUGGGGUGCUAUGGGGUAUUCAGGGCUAUGGGGUGUGGUUAUGGGGUGUUGUUAUGGGCUACGGGGUGUCGUUAUGGGCUAUGGGGUGUGGUUAUGGGGUGUGGUUAUGGGGUG
rnacentral:lncRNA from 1 species